GAUCUUGCCCCACUUCUCUUCGAGGGCCGAGAAUACGGCAUCGAUCGUGGCGAGGUCGGUCACAUCGCAAUGGCCGGCCAUGAAGGCACCAAGCUC
rnacentral:sRNA from 1 species